rnacentral:rRNA from 1 species
GACGAACGCUGGCGGCGUGCUUAACACAUGCAAGUCGAACGGAAAGGCCCUGCUUUUGUGGGGUGCUCGAGUGGCGAACGGGUGAGUAACACGUGAGUAACCUGCCCUUGACUUUGGGAUAACUUCAGGAAACUGGGGCUAAUACCGGAUAGGAGCUCCUGCUGCAUGGUGGGGGUUGGAAAGUUUCGGCGGUUGGGGAUGGACUCGCGGCUUAUCAGCUUGUUGGUGGGGUAGUGGCUUACCCAGGCUUUGACGGGUAGCCGGCCUGAGAGGGUGACCGGCCACAUUGGGACUGAGAGACGGCCCAGACUCCUACGGGAGGCAACAGUGGGGAAUAUUGCACAAUGGGCGGAAGCCUGAUGCAGCAACGCCGCGUGCGGGAUGACGGCCUUCGGGUUGUAAACCGCUUUCGCCUGAGACGAAGCGUGAGUGACGGUAAUGGGUAAAGAAGCACCGGCUAACUACGUG